GUGCCUUCAAUAAGGCUUUGAAGGCUAAGAUCAAGUGUAGUAUCUGUUCUUAUCAGUUUCAUAUCUGAUAAUUAAUAUCUGAUACCUCCCCUAUCUCUCUAAACUGUAAGCUAGUUUAUUAUGAGAUUUGUUAAGCACUUACUAUGUGCCAAGCACUGUACUAAGUGGUGGGUAGAUGCAAGAUCUU